GGUUUGAUGGGAAAAGAACAACAGCAAAGAAAUACGAAAAAAAAACUAAAGAAAAAAACAGCAAUCAAUUCGCUUUUGUAAAGCUAUUUGAAAAGAGUUUUCUAAACGACUAGAAACAGUUCUCCGAGGACAUUCAAAGCAGGAAGACAUAGUUAAAUAGAAAUUAAUAAGCAACUUUAGAUAAAAAGCCAAAGAAAAAAACAAAUCCCAAAAAAGAAAAAAGUAACGUUAAAAUCUACAAGAAAACCGUUAAGUGUGUUAUUGUGUUAAAAGCGUGUAGUCAAAAUCCCAGUGUUGUAUUUACAACUAUAACUAAAUUUGAAACAAAAUCCAAAAAAAAACUUAAAAAUCAAAAAGCAAAUUUUUGGAAUAAAAAGAAAAAUCCUUUUUAAUUUAUUAAAACAAAAAAGAAAGAAAACCUAAAAACUUCUUUAACAACAACAACAAAAAAGUAACAAUAUGUUUUCGAAUAUAACAAAUCAAUUCACUUCAUUGGUGGGUGCUGUGAAAGGUGGCCAAGGUGAUGAAGAAGUACCCGCUGCCAAUACACAAGAAACUGCAACCACAGCAGCCCCUUCAGAACAUCAUGAUGCUACAGCAGCAUCAACAGCUGGUGGUGAAUUGCCCGAAGGUGAAGAGGGUGCUAAGAGCUCAUCCUCAUUUGUAGAUUCCCUUGUUAAAGAAACAACUGGUUGGUUAGGCAGUGCCAAAGGUUGGUUGGGUAGUGCUUCAAUACCUUCAAUGCCGGCCAUGCCUUCAAUGCCCUCUAUGCCAUCGAUGCCAGCUAUGCCUUCAAUACCAAAUAUACCCGGUCUACGUAAAGGCGCUGAAGGUGAACCCGGUGCCGAGGGUGAUGCUGCUGCCGCUGCUGCUGCUGGUACAGCAAAUGCUACUGCUGCUGGUGAAGAAGAUGACAAAUCGAGGUACCUUAGUGCCACAGAGGGAGCCGAUUCCCAUCCAGCAUCCGGUGAUGAGGGACAACUUGGCGAAGAGGGUCAAAUUGGACAGGGUAAGGGAGAUGAUGUAAAAAUUACCACAAAAGUAACACAACAAGCUAAGCAUUUUGGUUCAUUUUUGACAUCAGCCUUUAGUGAAGCUGGUUCAAAGAUAAAAGAAACUGUUAAGAAAAACCCCAUUUUGGAAUCAUUUAACAAAGAACAAGAAGCGUUUAUUAAGGGCCAGGCUGGCGGUAAUGGUGCCGCUGUGGCCCCCUGGUCAGGGCUACCCAAUGAGGGCAAAAUUAAAGAGGAAAUUAUGGGUCUAUCACAAGAUCGUCGUAACUUUGUUCGAGCUCCACCAGCUGGUGUCGAUUUUGAAUUCAACUAUGAAACUGCUUAUCCAACGGCAAUCGCCAUCAUGGCUGAGGAUAAAAAUUUAGAAACUAUGCGUUUUGAAUUGGUACCCAAAAUCAUUACUGAGGAAAAUUUCUGGCGAAAUUAUUUCUAUCGCGUUUCACUAAUUAUCCAAGCUGCCGAAUUGGGUACACUUGGUGAAGAUGGUGUAGCACAAGCCUCAAGUGGUGAAGAUGUUAAAGAACAACAAUCUGUCAUUACUACUGAACCACUUAAAACCGAAACUUUUUUGGAUUCGAAAAAUCCUGAACAAAAUGUCAAGUUUGAGGAAAAUUUGUCUGCUACUAACAAAACUAAACGUUCCCAAUUGACUUCUGAAUCUGAAUUUGUGUCCGAUGCCUUUCAGAAUACCACUGAAAAUGAUUUAGAAGAAAUUAAAGAUGGCAUGCGUAAACUUGGUAUUGAUAGUAUGACCCAACAACAGCCAAGUACGGCAUUGAGUAAUAAUGAUGAUUACAUUUCAGUUACCAUACGUUUGCCCAAAAGAAUUGUGUGUCAAAGUAUUUGUUUAAGUUAUCAUCAUCAUGAUGAUGAUUGAUUGUUUCUUUCUUUUUCAAAGUAAUUUAUUUUUACUAUUUGUUUAAGUACUUAUAAAAUAAUAAACAAUUUGUCUUAAAAAGAGGAACAAUGGGAAAAAGAUUUAGAGGCAGAACUUAAAGAUUAUGAAGUUGUAGAUAAUGGCGCUAAAGAUGGUGGUGGCCCUUCUUCUACUACUACUACAACAACACAAGACAAUGACGACGAAUUACCGAC
rnacentral:misc_RNA from 1 species